GUACUUACUUCAGCAGCACAUACCCUAAAAAACGGAAUGAUACAGAGAAGACUGGCAAUGGGCCCUGCACAAGGAUAACAUGCAAAUUCAUGAAAUCUUCUAUAUUAUU
ensembl:snRNA U6 U6 spliceosomal RNA